UAAACGCUUCAAGAAGUUGUCCUCAAUCGAGGGUGGCUGCUGGCUGUGGAUGUGACUACGUUCUGGUUUAUGAACCGUCGUUGGAAAGUCCCUCUGAGGAACGCUUUUGUAGCCGAUACAUCCAGAAUAAGGCCACGGAAGUGGCCUAUUUUUCCAGAACCAGAUCCGCACAUCUGACUUUUUAUUUCCUGGGAGAUUUUGGGCAUGCCUUUACCCUGGAAUUUUCCGCCAUAAGAAACCAACUGGUCUUCGACGGCUUUCCGACAAUGAGCCGCAUGAACAACAACAGCCAGUUCAUCACGUCCCCAUUCUUUCCUCAGCUAUACCCAGCCGAUUUAAGCACUGAAUAUGUUAUCAAGUGCCAUUCGAAAAUACCCUGCCGCAUCAAUUUGAUUUUUACCGAUUUCCUCAUGGGCUAUUCCUCAAUCUUGGAGUUCUUCGACUGGAAUGGUCAACGCCUCUACGUGAUCUCCGGCAACAUUUUUCGGCCGUCCGUUAUAGUUUCAUCUGGACCGAGCUUGGUAGUGCGGUUUUAUGCCAAUGGGGCUUCGAACCUCGGCUUUAAAGCCUCGUAUGGGUUCACAUUGGGCAACUUGGAUGACCUAGUGAUGAGGUCGAAUACUGAUUGUGGAGGCCAAGUGAACAAUCUGGGAGGAGGAAUAACCAUGAUGAACAUGACGGUGGAAGGACCGAAGUUCUACGACUGUCUCUGGAUCAUACAGAUUCCCAGCAGCUUUUUGCACCGCAAAACCCAUCUGUAUGUUAAAGUGGUAAAAUUUACGGACUUUGCUGGCCCAACAAAAUUGAUAAUGCGCAAGGGAGUGACAUCGAAUGAGGCUGUUAUAGAAACCCUCAAAUAUCCGCCAGGCGCUUUCGAAAAAUCGACCAAAACCGAACAUGUAGUGUCGAUUAAAGAAGGUUUUUACGUUAGUCUGAGGGGCCUUUUCAAGGCAGAAUCCCGCGUUGCCAUCGUUUAUGCGGCUUUUAAUUACAAAGAUUGCUUUUCUGGAUUAGACUUCUUGUGCCAAAAUAUGCGAUGCAUUUCCGCUUUGUUAAACUGCGAUGGUUUUGACCACUGCGGUGAUAACAGCGAUGAAUCGCCCACAUGUUCUGAAGAUCCCAAGGACCACAGGGAUUUUUCGAAAAUACCCAAUUUUCGAUUCCCAAAAGCGGAACCUUAUUCAGACUUGACGAUGGCCACUGCAGUAUUUCUUCUAUGCACUUUUGGAUUAAUUGGGAUUAUUAUUGCCAUGACUUUGCUGCUAUACAGGGUGAACAUGCGAACCAGGCACCACCGCCAAAUCCAAGACCACAUUGAGACAAUUCACGCUAUUUUGGAGGAGGGCGUAGGCGAGAUAGAGGAGGACAUAAUCAUUGCAGACGAGCCUCCCGACUACGAGCAUCCUCCAGAAUACUCCGACGUUUUCCAGUAUAUCAGAAAAGUUGCCUGCGGCAGCCGACAAAAGAACAGGCCAGUAAAUUUAUCAUAGUCCCCAUGAGGCGCAACAAGAAUACGUUCUUCGCCCUUCAGACACUCUCAGGUAGUCCCAAAACCGUCCCAAUCAACUUCUUUCGCCGCAACUGGGUCUGAAAAAUCCCCCCAUCCAAAUAGCAGUAAUCAGGCAUCAAGAAGUUCCAGCACUAGCAGAAGUUGCCAAACUUCACCCUUGAGGCUACCCCAAUCUCCUCCACCUGCCUAUGACAACGAAAUAGCGGGGGCUUCGCAGAAGACCGAUGACAGAACAGUUAGUUUCCCCAAGAAAAUGUUCAUCGAUAUUGGGGUUUCACUAAGACAAAACAUCCGGAAAUGCAAAUCCGACGUUUUCGCCAAACAUUCCAUCAAAACGAUCAGCUUUUCAGAGCCAAAUUCAACAAGAUAUUAUUCCGAAUCAGAUUUAAUCGGCUUAGUGCACAGUCGCAAAGCCGAAGAUUUCAACGUUGGCAAAAGAAGCUUUUCAGCUAACGACCUGUUUUUCUAAAGAAGAAUUCAGUGUGUUAUAAAUGUUAACAGAAAAAAAAAACAGCAAAUCGAAUACGAUUCUAGUUUGGAUUAGGAGUGAAAUAAACCCAAAGAUAUAAUAAAUAGUAGUUGUAUUACUUUUUAGUCUCUACAUGUUUUCAAUAAAAAAAUUUUAUAUCUACAUUUUCAGACAAUUACAAUAAUUACUGUAUGUACAAGUUUUAUUCGGUCGCUAAUUAAAAGCAGUAGCAACAGCAGCAUUGAUGUUUGAUAAUGCAACUCCAAAAGUAAUAGAUUUAAUGCCUAUACAUUAUGUCUAGUUCACGAUAUUUACUUAUGGGUAGUUGAAGCCAUUUUUUAUUUAUUUUUCUAUUAAAACGCAAAUUCCUAUAAUUAAAAUUAAAUAUUACUUUUGAUUUCACCUUACCAAAGUUGAAUCACCGCUGGAAACUCAAAUAAAACUGCAGUUUUGAGACACAUUUCUUUUGGUUCGUUUAUAGGCCUUCACUGGAGCUUAAAACACGAAAAUUUGGUCUUGGAGCUCAAUAAUUUGAAAGUGUGUGAUCGAUAUUAUCUUACCUCAAAAAUCAGCAAACUCACGUAAGAAUAAUAAUUAAACAAAAGAAUGAAAAGCAAUUGAAUUACUUAAAAGUUAGCAGCAAACAUUCAAAUGCGCAAAUAAAAUAUUCUAAUACUAGAAAAUUAAUUACCUAUUUGAAAGUUUUAGUUUACAUUUUUAAUUUAAAUUAGAGAUAAGAAUGUUUGCACUUUUGCUGCCGUUUAUAUUCGCAGAUCUCAAUCGUGUUAUGUUUUAAUUGUAAACCACAACUUUGUUUGAAUUAUGGCGAAAAAUGCAACAAUCAAUGAUUAAAUUGGAGAUUGAGAUCAUCAAUCAAAGGAUUAAAGAUUAACUAAUAUAGUGUUCAUCAAGAAGUAGCUAUUUAUUAAAGUUUAUUUCGAGAAAAGAGGUAGAGGAUAUUUCUGAAUUACGUAGCAAAACCACUUGAGUUGGUGUUGAAACGUUACUUCCAUAGCCAUUUGGUGUUCUAAGCUCUGAAACUCCUGGAGUGCUUCUCCUACAUCGCUCCCUUCCAGCUUUUUUUGCAAAAUUAAUCUAUAAUCAGUCUCAAAGAGCAAAUCAACGUUUAGGUAAUUGCGACGAGUAUUUUAGCGAAGAAUGGAUGCUUUUUGGGGUGUAGAAAGGCUGCUUUUAACUUUCACUUAAUGGGCCAAUUCC
rnacentral:misc_RNA from 1 species